GAAGGUACUUGCAAAGUUAUAUUUUGCUUAAAUAACUGGAAUUGAAAUAGAAAAGAGUGAUGGGGUUAUUCUGAAAUGAGUUUAGGACUCUUAUCAUAUUCUGUUCAAUUUUGUUUUCAUCAUAGAUAUGCUGAGGCAUACAAUAGUUAUAAGAAGGAUUAAUUUUUCCAUUUGUAUAACUUCUGAAACAAACAUGGGUAUAUGUUUUGAAUUUGGUUGUUUUGGAUGUAAAUUUUGUAGUAUAGAUUUUUUGUGAUACAAAUAUUUUUAAUGGAUUCCAGCCACUGAACAGCCUUUUUGCAUAACAGGGGUAAGGCUGUGUAACAUCAACCCUUUUAAUCUUUCUACUUCUAUUUGAUGACUAUCUUUUCAUUCCUGCCAGUCCAUCUUCUUACAUUUUGAUAGUUAAUAUUUUUAAUUUUCAAUUGAGUUGCUAGCUGAAUCUGAUGUAUUCUGCAAAAAAGAAUCUUUGAACAACUCAGGAAGCCUGUGAUUUGGCCUUUUUCCCUUUCAGGAUUCAGAUGCUUCAAUUCGUA
rnacentral:misc_RNA from 1 species